GGCGAACGGGUGAGUAACGCGUGAGCAAUCUACCUUAGUGACAGGAUAGCCCGAGGAAACUCGGAUUAAUACCUGAUAUUCUUUACAUUUCGCAUGAAAUCAAAAGGAAAGGUCAGCCGAACUAAGAUGAGCUCGCGUUCUAUCAGCUAGUUGGUGAGGUAAAAGCUCACCAAGGCAACGACGGAUAGCUGGUCUGAGAGGACGAUCAGCCACACUGGGACUGAGACACGGCCCAGACUCCUACGGGAGGCUGCAGCAGGGAAUAUUGCGCAAUGAGCGAAAGCUUGACGCAGCGACACCGCGUGUGGGAUGACGGAUCUAGGUUUGUAAACCACUUUCAGGAGGGAAGAAAAUGACGGUACCUCCACAAGAAGCCCCGGCCAACUACGUGCCAGCAGCCGCGGUAAUACGUAGGGGGCGAGCGUUGUCCGGAUUUAUUGGGCGUAAAGAGCUC
rnacentral:rRNA from 1 species